UGCUGACCGGGUGCCUGCACUAAGUUCGACACCAAUAUGGUGACCUCCUGGGAGCGGGGGGGCCACCAAGUUGCCUAAGGAUGGCUGAACUGGCCCAGGUCAGAAACGGAGCAGGUCAGAACUCCCAAACCGACCGGUAGUGGGACUGUGCCUGGGCG
rnacentral:SRP_RNA from 1 species